UACGAAGGGGGCUAGCGUUGCUCGGAAUCACUGGGCGUAAAGGGUGCGUAGGCGGGUCUUUAAGUCAGGGGUGAAAUCCUGGAGCUCAACUCCAGAACUGCCUUUGAUACUGAAGAUCUUGAGUUCGGGAGAGGUGAGUGGAACUGCGAGUGUAGAGGUGAAAUGCGUAGAUAUCUGGAGGAACACCGGUGGCGAAGGCGGCAUCCUGGACCGACACUGACACUGAGGAGCGAAAGCCAGGGGAGCAAACGGG
rnacentral:rRNA from 1 species